GAUGCUGCAGGUGAACAGUUGCCUUUUACUAUCCCGACGGAGAUUUCGCAGCCGUUCCUCACCUCUCCGCCUACGCGUGCGAGCCCGGGCUACGCUGCAGGACACACAGAGCCCAAACCCCGCUACCCGCGCACAGGCGCCCAGCACUCGCAGCCCGGAGCAAGCCCGAGUGACGCCGGCGCAGGGCGCAGCCCCUUCGGGCGGAGCUGGUGGCGGCGGCGAGGAGGAGGCGGCGCGGGCGGAGCAGAGCCGUGGCUGGCGGGGGGAGCGCACCGGGGUGCGGGCGGCGGAGCGGCGAGAUGCGGCCGUGCCGGGCUCCGAGGCUGGCGGGGCUGGCCGCGGUGCUUCUGGUGGCUGUGAGCAGAGCUCAGGUGCAGCAAGAUACGUCGGCAGAGACCAGCGAGGGCACCGGCAUCAACAUCACCUGCUCACACCCCAGUAUACAAGCCAGCUACAUCUACUGGUACCGUCAUCUCCCAGGCAGAGGUCUCACAUUCCUCCUCAGCGCCGUUAGAGGCUCCAAGGAGGUGCCGGACCCGGAGGGGCAGCUGUCGGUGUCGGCAGACCGCCGCUCCAGCGCCCUGUGGCUCGCCCGGCCCCGGCUCGGCGACGCGGCCGUGUAUUACUGCGCCGUGGACCCACGAGGAGCGAAGCCGGGGCUGCGGCCGGGCACGAACCGCUUUGGGCGGGGCGGGGGCACAGUGCCGUCCGGGCCCGCAGGGGGCGCUGCCGCUCCUCCCUCCCGGCCCCGCCCGAGCUGCCAUUGCUGACAUGGAACGUGUCCCUCGCACUGCUCGGCAUCCUUCUCAGUGAGACGUUCCAGCUGCACACCUUCACGAGCACGACAUGUCGAGGUCACAGACACUUUCAAGCGAUCCCCACAGUAGCUCUGUUGUCAGACUACGAGAUUCUGUGACAGAAUUCAGGGCCUUUGGCAGUGAGGUGCAGUUUCAGCAAAGGCCACUGUAAGCUGUGUUUCCUGUGAGGGCUACUGCCUCAUCUGUGGAUCAAGUCACUAUUCAGCUUAAAGCUGGCUGCCCACGUUUUGGAUGGGCUUACGCUCCGCUGGGUGAAACACUGGCUGGGUGGGUGGGCCCAAAGAGUUUUGGUCAGUGGAGUUAAAUCCAGUUGGCUGCCGGUCACGAGCGCUGUCCCCCAGGGCUUCAGUCUGGGGCCACUUCUAUUUAAUAUCUUUAUGAAUGAUCUUGAUGAGGGGAUUGAGUGCACACUCAGGAAGUCUGUAGACGACACCAAGGUGGGAGGGAGUGUUAAUCUGCCAGAGGGUAGAAGGGCACUGCAGAAGGACCUGGACAGACUGGAUCAAUGGGCCACAGUAAACUGUAUGAGUUUCAAUAGGGCC